UGGGGAAUUUUGGACAAUGGGGGCAACCUGAUCCAGCAAUGCCGCGUGUGUGAAGAAGGCCUUCGGGUUGUAAAGCACUUUUGUCCGGAAAGAAAACGUCGUGGUUAAUACCCGUGGCGGCUGACGGUACCGGAAGAAUAAGCACCGGCUAACUACGUGCCAGCAGCCGCGGUAAUACGUAGGGUGCAAGCGUUAAUCGGAAUUACUGGGCGUAAAGCGUGCGCAGGCGGUCCGCUAAGACAGAUGUGAAAUCCCCGGGCUUAACCUGGGAACUGCAUUUGUGACUGGCGGGCUAGAGUAUGGCAGAGGGGGGUAGAAUUCCACGUGUAGCAGUGAAAUGCGUAGAGAUGUGGAGGAAUACCGAUGGCGAAGGCAGCCCCCUGGGCCAAUACUGACGCUCAUGCACGAAAGCGUGGGGAGCAAACAGGAUUAGAUACCCUGGUAGUCCACGCCCUAAACGAUGUCAACUAGUUGUCGGGUCUUCAUUGACUUGGUAACGUAGCUAGCGCGUGAAGUUGA
rnacentral:rRNA from 1 species